rnacentral:misc_RNA from 1 species
GCCCCGCUUCGCAACGGUGACAGGGACGAGGCUGAGUGAAGCCCAGCACACCAGCACACACAGACACACACACACGCACACAAACUACACUACACCACACCACACCACUACACAGCACCUCUACGCCAUGUAUUCGUGUUCUCUUUUGCGCCUGUGCAGCACCGCGCUGACCAACUCGGUCGCAACACACAGCGCUGGCAGUCGGUACAUGCACAAGCCGGCAGAGGCAACGCGACAGCAGUGGAAGCAUCGCCUGCGAGAACGCACCCUUCAGCGGCGUCGCAACAUUGCAAGCAAGGAGGCCGAGGUUCAACGUUCUUUGAAGGAGGUCACCAGUAGCCGUGAUUUGAUUAUAGCGCAGCUAGCUGAUCAGAUCUUCUCCAAAGGUCACCGUCACGUGGCGAGUGCCAUGAACAUCGGCUUCGUUCCCGACGGCAACCCCGCCACGCCCCUCGUCGCCCUCGCUGGCCGAGAAAGGUGUGGCAAGACGUCCUUGCUGCGCUCACUCUUCCGCUCCGCGCGGGAGGUGGGCCGCUCCAAUCGGCACCUUCGCCGAGACGCCAUGAACUUCUUCAAUGUGGGCGGCGUUUUCAACGUUGUUGAUCUGCCGGGGUGCGGCGGUACAUCCGUGCCGUGGUCGACGGUGCUGCAGCACGCCGUGCUCCUGCGUAACUUUGCUCGGUGCCAGCCCAGUUUGAAGAUGCUUUACUACUGCAUGGACACUCACUACAAACACGGACUCUACAUUCAGGACAUCGACCUGCUGCAGUUUCUCGCACGCGAGGUGCCCAACUUCACCAUUGUCCUUACCAAGGCAGAUCAGAUCAAUGACCGCGCCCUUCGGGCGGUGCACAUGGAGGACAUACGCAAGGAGCUCAUCUACCACGAUAUCCACCAUCCGGUGCUGGUCACCAGCGCCUUCCACAUGGGUGGCGUCGACACGCUGCGGUAUGAUAUGGUCAUGAACUCGGUGCACACGCUGCCGACGGAGCGACUCACGCUGACUGAAGCGCAGCGGCUGUCGGCUCGGUUGUUUUCCCAAAAAGAGCUGAGCACGAUUCGCCCCCUCGCCAUCGCACCGUCGCAGGUCGAUGAUGAAGCACGAGAGUGGAAUGAAGAGAUUCAACUGAGAGAGCGCGCCGGUGACGGCGCCGUGGGUGUGAGCGUCGCUGACGCAGCGAAUGGCGCGGCGGAGGAUGCCAGUUUAGUGGUCGAGGCGACGGAAGAGGAGCUACGGUACAGCGAGGCAGAGUUGGCGGAGUUUGCCGCGGCGGACGACGGCACUAGCGUUGCUGGUGCGCCGGCACCUGCCCGUGCAAGCACGGAGGAACCGCUGCUUGCCGAACUCGCACUUCCACCAGAGGAAGUACCUCUUCCUGUCGAUGCUUCGCGGGACGCGUCAUCAUCCUCGACACAUAUCCCUGUCGUGUUUAAGGAUCUCGUGACACAGAUGGCGUACAAGCGGGCUGUGAGGACGCUCCGCAAUCGUCCACUUCUCCAGUAUGUGGAUGCGACUAGCCCCUGGCGCAAUCCACUGCGGUGGCCGUGCCACGUCGUCCCUACAAAGCACCCCAAGGCGAACAUCAUGCGUUGUCCAGAGGCGCCAGAAAACCCUUAUCUGUUCCAGGCCCAAUUCGUUGCCUCACGCGCCGAUAUGUACUUCCGCCGACCCAACGUCGGCGCUCGCAAGUCUUCGCAGAAGGGCAGGUACGAGGCAGACAAGCCGCUCGCCUUUCUUGUAAAGGCUUACACGAUUCCGUACUUUCCGGACAUUGUUGACACAGCCAUGCAACCAACCCCGUGGGCUUUCCUCGGAAGUCGCGAGGCUUACUACGAGCGCAAUGGCGGUCGCCAGCUUGGCGUUCGGCUCGCCAACUACGCCACUGCCGGGUCCUUGAAUCCUCUCUCUGGCAACCCCGCUCCUCAGAAGCCAGAGCUGACGAACGAACUGCAGGCACUGGAGACGAAGCGAUACGGAGCCCCGAUAGCGAUGCUGCGUCCCCCGGACGCGAAGCUAGCGCCUUCUGCAUUUCCGUUGCACGCACCCAGCUCACCGACGCUCAGUUCGUAGCAUUACCCUUCCGGCUUUGGAAGGUCUUUCCAGUUUUUGCCUCACAUUCUCUCUGCCUCUCCUGAUUUCAUUACCCUCUGUUACUGUGCCGCCGGGGUGAGGGGAAUGGAAGCAGAGGCAGAGAAACAGGGCGGCGUUCACUGGGUCUGGUGUGGUGUCGUGACCUGUCUCUUUGUUGGCCGUGGUGGUGCUCGCUUGCGCUGGUCACAGCUAACGGUACAGCGUUCGCUGAUUAG